AGUGAACGCUGGCGGUAGGCCUAACACAUGCAAGUCGAACGGCAGCACAGGAGAGCUUGCUCUCUGGGUGGCGAGUGGCGGACGGGUGAGGAAUACAUCGGAAUCUACUUUUUCGUGGGGGAUAACGUAGGGAAACUUACGCUAAUACCGCAUACGACCUACGGGUGAAAGCAGAGGACCUUCGGGCCUUGCUCGAUUGAAUGAGCCGAUGUAGAAUUAGCUAGUUGGCGGGGUAAAGGCCCACCAAGGCGACGUACCGUAGCUGGUCUGCGAGGAUACGCAGCCACACUGGAAUUGGGACAAGGUCCAGACUCCGACGGGGGGAAGCCGUGGGGAAUAUUGGACAAUGGGCGCAAGCCUGAUCCAGCCAUACCGCGUGGGUGAAGAAGGCCUUCGGGUUGUAAAGCCCUUUUGUUGGGAAAGCAAUCCAUAUGGUUAAUACCCGGGUGGGAUGACGGUACCCAAAGAAUAAGCACCGGCUAACUUCGUUCCAGCCGCCGCAGUAA
rnacentral:rRNA from 1 species